rnacentral:rRNA from 1 species
ACGCCUAAACAUGCAAGUCGAACGAAGUAGCAAUACUUAGUGGCAGACGGGUGAGUAACAUGUGGGUAUCUGCCCUUUGGCCUGGAAUAACACGAGGAAACUUGUGCUAAUACCGGAUAAGUCUUUACGGAGAAAGCUUUAUGCACCAUUGGAUGAGCCCGCACUUGAUUAGUUUGUUGGUAGGGUAAUGGCCUACCAAGACUGUGAUUAAUAGCUGAUUUGAGAGGAUGAUCAGCCACAUUGGGACUGAGACACGGCCCAAACUCCUACGGGAGGCAGCAGUGGGGAAUCUUGCACAAUGGAGGAAACUCUGAUGCAGCGAUGCCGCGUGAGUGAAGAAGGCCUUUGGGUUGUAAAGCUCUUUCGUCGGGGAAGAAAAUGACUGUACCCGAAUAAGAAGGUCCGGCUAACUUCG